CAUUAUACAGCGAAACUGCGAAUGGCUCAUUAUAUAAGUUAUCGUUUAUUUGAUAGUACCUUACUACAUGGAUAACCGUGGUAAUUCUAGAGCUAAUACAUGCUAAAAAUCCCGACUUCGGAAGGGAUGUAUUUAUUAGAUUAAAAACCAAUGCCCUCUGGGCUCUUUGGUGAUUCAUGAUAACUUCUCGAAUCGCAUGGCCUUGCGCCGGCGAUGGUUCAUUCAAAUUUCUUCCCUAUCAACUUUCGAUGUUUGGGUAUUGGCCAAACAUGGUCGCAACGGGUAACGGAGGGUUAGGGCUCGACCCCGGAGAAGGAGCCUGAGAAACGGCUACUACAUCCAAGGAAGGCAGCAGGCGCGCAAAUUACCCAAUCCCGACACGGGGAGGUAGUGACAAUAAAUACUGAUACAGGGCUCUUUUGGGUCUUGUAAUUGGAAUGAGUACAAUUUAAAUCCCUUAACGAGGAACAAUUGGAGGGCAAGUCUGGUGCCAGCAGCCGCGGUAAUUCCAGCUCCAAUAGCGUAUAUUAAAGUUGUUGUGGUUAAAAAGCUCGUAGUUGAACCUUGGGCCUGGCUGGCCGGUCCGCCUCACCGCGUGUACUGGUCCGGCCGGGCCUUUCCCUCUGUGGAACCCCAUGCCCUUCACUGGGUGUGGCGGGGAAACAGGACUUUUACUUUGAAAAAAUUAGAGUGCUCCAGGCAGGCCUAUGCUCGAAUACAUUAGCAUGGAAUAAUGAAAUAGGACGUGUGGUUCUAUUUUGUUGGUUUCUAGGACCGCCGUAAUGAUUAAUAGGGACAGUCGGGGGCAUCAGUAUUCAAUUGUCAGAGGUGAAAUUCUUGGAUUUAUUGAAGACUAACUACUGCGAAAGCAUUUGCCAAGGAUGUUUUCAUUAAUCAGGAACGAAAGUUAGGGGAUCGAAGACGAUCAGAUACCGUCGUAGUCUUAACCAUAAACUAUGCCGACUAGGGAUCGGACGAUGUUAUUUUUUGACGCGUUCGGCACCUUACGAGAAAUCAAAGUGCUUG
rnacentral:rRNA from 1 species